GCGUCGGCCUCCCAAAGUUCUUGGAUUACAGGCGUGAGCCACCGCACCCGGCCAGGCAGACUGAUUUCAAUUCUUUUGGAUAUGCACCCAGUAGAGAGAUGGCGGGAUCACAUGCGGGAGCAGCUUCCUCCUAGAAACUACACAGUAAUGGUUUGGUCAAAAAGGCUUGGAAUUUAUUAAGAGCUAGAACCAUGCACCAUGUUUUGUGUGUCAUGUUCAUUUUUUUAGUAGGGAGACCAGAAAAAUGCCACCAUGGGGUAUUUUCAGCUAAAAUGAAUGAAGUUAGACGUUAUCUUUCCAAAGACUUGCCACAAACCAUGAAGCUCUGGGCCUGGCACUGGACAGCAGUUCUUUCCUUGGGUGUGAAGCGAUGGCUGAUCUGUUUGCAGAAAAGAAAAUCAACAAAGACCAGCAAUUUGUACUGACCUCCUCUGUUCUUUAGAGCGUGUCAGAGAGCAUGAUUUCAAAACACACUGGGACCGCAGGUCUCUCAUUAGUCAAAGAAAUCCCUGCAACCUUGCCCUGGGUGAUGUGGCAAUUUGGGCAAAGAUGGGAAGUGUUUUGCCCUCCUAAGCUGAGCCUCUGGUAGUGACCACUCCUGGCACCCAAAGAUACUUUGUGACCUCCGAUGGGCUGCUUGCUCCCUCCCUCUGUUCCUACCAUUCCGGAUUCUACCAUAUGAGAUAAAGUUUGUGUCUCAUAGACUCCACGACAUCAGUGAAGCUUGUGUUUUAGAGAUGCAAUAUCCAAUUCUGGAAACAGCCUUU
rnacentral:lncRNA from 1 species